rfam:Verticillium longisporum isolate VL1 genome assembly, contig: scaffold_215
CCUUUCCUCCGACGUGACACAACGUCCUGCAGUGAUGUUGUUCGACCUGCCGUGUCGGUCGGAGGAAAUG